CGAGAAAAUAACUGUCUCUUAUACAAAGUUUGAAUUUCAUUUUUAAGUGAAAAAGCUUAAAUAAACCUGAAGGACGAUAAGACCCUAUAGAGCUUUACUUCAUUAAAAUACAAACAACCUAGAAAUUAAUAUUAUUAUUUGAUAGAAGUUACGUUGGGGCGACGACNAGACAAUAAAUAACUCUUUAUUUUUUAAACAACUAAAAUUGAAAAAUUGAUCCUUAAAGCGAGAUCAAAUGAACAAGUUACCUUANGGAUAACAGCGUAAUCCUUUUUAAGAGUUCUCAUCAACAAAAGGGUUUGCGACCUCGAUGUUGGAUUAAGAGUUCACCAAGGUGCAGCAGCUUUGGAAGACGGUCUGUUCGACCAUUAAUCUCUU
rnacentral:rRNA from 1 species